UACGUAGGCAGCAAGCGUUGUUCGGAAUUACUGGGCGUAAAGAGUGUGUAGGCGGUGUUCCAAGUCUGUUGUGAAAUCUCCCGGCUUAACCGGGAGGGUGCGGCGGAAACUGGAAUGCUAGAGGAUGGGAGAGGUAAGCGGAAUUCCUGGUGUAGCGGUGAAAUGCGUAGAUAUCAGGAGGAACACCUGUGGUGUAGACAGCUUACUGGACCAUUUCUGACGCUGAGACACGAAAGCGUGGGUAGCAAACAGGAUUAGAUACCCUGGUAGUCCACGCCCUAAACGAUGCAUACUUGGUGUGAGCCAUUCAUUUGGUUCGUGCCGGAGCUAACGCGUUAAGUAUGCCGCCUGGGGAGUACGGUCGCAAGGCUG
rnacentral:rRNA from 1 species